rnacentral:rRNA from 1 species
AUGUCUCCAUAUGAUUUGUUUGCUACUACCUUGCAUUGCAUUAUGCCAUCACUUAAGGUAGAUUUGAAAAACUAUUUGCUUGGAUUUGAUCAUACACACCUUGUUAGUGGCACUGCUCAUAUCUCUGUUCAUGAUACUUAUGUUCCUGAUGUUAUACCCAUGCUUAAUGAAACGUGUGAUUCUAAUACUAGCAUUGAGCUUACUGAUUUGUACCAUCCUAAACUUGUGUUUUAUAGCUAUGCUUAUGUAAUUGGGUACUCUAUUGAUGAUUUAGAGGGCAUUACUCCUAUCACUCGUAUUAUCUCUUUGGUUGAGUGCCUUUUCAGGUUUUUGCUUGUGCAUGAAACAAUACAUGCUGACCGGGUCCGAGGUGACAUUCCUUGGGACCCCGGUGGACUCUGA